rnacentral:rRNA from 1 species
CGAACCGGCGAACGGGUGCGUAACACGUGAGCAACCUACCCAGGUGUGGGGGAUAGCCGUCCCAACGGACGGGUAAUACCGCAUACGCUCUUCUUUAGGCAUUUAGGGAAGAGGAAACCUUCGGGGCACCAUGAGGGGCUCGCGGCCUAUCAGCUAGUUGGCGAGGUAACGGCUCACCAAGGCUACGACGGGUAGCUGGUCUGAGAGGAUGGCCAGCCACAUUGGGACUGAGAAACGGCCCAG